rnacentral:misc_RNA from 1 species
CCCGCGUUGAUUCAUAUAACGGCUUAAGACCCAAUCGAAUUGAUUGAUAUAUAGACUUGUACAUAUUCCGCUUCUUUAUCUCUCUCCUUGGAUAUAUAUAUAUAUAGAUACUUUGACAGUAAACGUACUCCUCCAUGGACGAAUCAUCGAGCGAGGCCCAAGGCCACGCUGCAGGUGCUCCUUCUUCUCUUACAGUGAAUACUCACUCGACAUCCCAAUCGCAAUCGCAGCAGGAAAGAGGAGUCGGGGAAGACGAGGAAGAUGGAACUACCAAGGAAGAGGAAGAAUUGCUGGACAAGGCACAGAAAUUGAUGGAUAAGAUCACAUCUUCCCCGGAUAACCCUAAGCCUACCGUCCUCCACGCCCUUUCCUCUCUCCUCGAAGCUCAGGA